rnacentral:rRNA from 1 species
AGUGAACGCUGGCGGUAGGCCUAACACAUGCAAGUCGAACGGCAGCACAGUAAGAGCUUGCUCUUACGGGUGGCGAGUGGCGGACGGGUGAGGAAUACAUCGGAAUCUACUUUUUCGUGGGGGAUAACGUAAGGAAACUUACGCUAAUACCGCAUACGACCUACGGGUGAAAGCAGGGGAUCUUCGGACCUUGCGCGAUUGAAUGAGCCGAUGUCGGAUUAGCUAGUUGGCGGGGUAAAGGCCCACCAAGGCGACGAUCCGUAGCUGGUCUGAGAGGAUGAUCAGCCACACUGGAACUGAGACACGGUCCAGACUCCUACGGGAGGCAGCAGUGGGGAAUAUUGGACAAUGGGCGCAAGCCUGAUCCAGCCAUACCGCGUGGGUGAAGAAGGCCUUCGGGUUGUAAAGCCCUUUUGUUGGGAAAGAAAAGCAGCAGGUUAAUACCCCGCUGUUCUGACAGUACCCAAAGAAUAAGCACCGGCUAACUUCGUG